rnacentral:rRNA from 1 species
UACGGAGGAGGCAAGCGUUAUCCGGGAUUAUUGGGCGUAAAGCGUCCGUAGGUGGUUGGCCAAGUCUGCUGUCAAAGGGUGGGGCUUAACCUCAUAAAGGCAGUGGAAACUGGCGAGCUAGAGAGCCGUAGGGGUAGGGGGAAUUCCCAGUGUAGCGGUGAAAUGCGUAGAGAUUGGGAAGAACAUCGGUGGCGAAAGCGCCCUGCUGGGCCUGCACUGACACUGAGGCACGAAAGCUAGGGGAGCGUAAGGG